rnacentral:rRNA from 1 species
AACGAACGCUGGCGGCAGGCUUAACACAUGCAAGUCGAACGCGUGUAGCAAUACACGAGUGGCGCACGGGUGAGUAACGCGUGGAUAUCUGCCUUUUGGUUCGGAAUAACCUCGGGAAACUGGGGCUAAUACCGGAUGGUUCCUUCGGGAUAAAGAUUUAUCGCCAAAAGAUGAGUCCGCGUACGAUUAGCUAGUUGGUGAGGUAAUGGCUCACCAAGGCGACGAUCGUUAGCUGGUCUGAGAGGACGAUGAGCCACCCUGGGACUGAGACACGGCCCAGACUCCUACGGGAGGCAGCAGUGGGGAAUAUUGGACAAUGGGGGCAACCCUGAGCCAGCCAUGCCGCGUGAGUGAUGAAGGCCUUCGGGUUGUAAAGCUCUUUUGGCGGGGACGAUGAUGACGGUACCCGCAGAAUAAGCCCCGGCUAACUUCGUGCCAGCCGCCGCAGUAA